UGUGCAAUUAAUUAAUCGUGAAUCCUUGAUUCAAAGUGUGGUUAAGUUUGUUACAUAUCGAAAUUAUCCAUUUAAAGUCAAUUUAUUACUUGAAUGUUGGCAAAAGAAUGAAAUAAACAACUUUCGAAAAAGUUUAUCAUCAGUAAAUUUACUCUCGGGAGUUAUUUCAUAUAAAAAUUCAAUAUGGAGACAAGAAAGUAAAGAAAUGGAACUCUAUGUUAUGGAUUAUGAUUGUUUCAAUAAUACAAACAUAUUGCAACAGAAUGAAGACCUACUGCAAUUCCCACAUCGUUGGUUUAUUCUCAUCAACAAUAUAUCCACAUUCCCUCUUCUAGACAUUAAACUCAAUACUAGACUCUACCUUCUUCAAAAACAACCCCCACACAUUUUAAUAUCUUCUUAUUUAAUUUCUA